GAGUCGACUCAUAUACGGACAAGACCCGGCGAGGCAACUACCGACGAGACCCGGAACUCGAGGAGCGUGACAUAGCGUUAUCCGGUUUGGAAACUAGGAAUAGCAAGUGUGUUUUAUUUCAGGUGAUAGUAUUUUGAAGGCAAGGACUUCCAUUCUUGUUCCGGAAGUCUGCAAUUUUUUAAGUAUAUGUAUUGAAGUAUGCUUCAAAUCCUAGCGCUGCAGCAGUCAGUAGAUGUCAGUAUAAAAAUAAUAUUUUGUGUCAAACGAUAUUUUGCUAUUAACUCUGAGAUGAUAAAUGUAUGUUCAUAGUUUAUAUAAAUCACGCUUUUUAUUCGUGUUAUUUCUUUACCAAUUAUCCAUGAA